UUCUACCGCAGCGAAGAAUCAUUUCUAGGCAACAAUCUCGAAGCCCGACGAAGGCUGUGGUAUCAGGCGCCUUUAAUCUCAACAAAGCUCCACUGAGUAUCUCCGGCAACGAUCUGAUUGGCUUCUUUCCGCUGAAUAGGUGGAGAUGGCGAAGGUGCUUGUGGAGAUGAGGCAAAUUCACCAGUUCAAACAUUAGGCGGAGCUUGGCGUUGAUGAUGAGGAAAAGAAAGUGUUCUUUGAUCAGGUGACUCCGCUCAAUUCAAGCUGUCUAGGGGUUUUGGCAUCAUAUAUCAAAACUGCUUGAGAACUGUUAGCAGAUUCAAAAGCUGGCAAGAAUCCAUUUGAUGGUUUUACACCUUCCUGAUAGAUUCCAAAGAUCAUGUAAAUUUGAGUAGUGCCUCCUUUGACCAAGAGAUGAUUCAGCCAACCAAGAAGUAUUGAAAUGAAGUCUCGUGUUGAAGGUGGCAGAAUUAUGUCUAUGAGUUUAGAGCGUCACCAUUGAAAAAUGACAGUAGCAUUACAACAUUGACAGUAGCUUUAUGUAACUAUUGUACUAGAUUUUCACAGCUAUGGUAGUGGCUUUUUACAACUAUGGAAGUAGCUUUUUACAUAGUUAUAUCAUUGUUGAAUCCUGCAUAUUUUGUGUAUCAUUGAAUAUGUUUUAUGUUCUC